UGGUGCAGGCUGUGAAGACCCCGUGAGGCCACAUUUGCUCAGUCGCUGCCAGAUUCUAGCAGCCAAGUGCUCAGCGAAGCUGGCUGUGUCUCCCAGGCAUCUCUGCUCGAUAAUACUCGGGUUUACCUACGCACGCGCUAAAGACUUGACCCGUAAGUCUCUUGAAGUGCAGGUGAUUCUGAAGGCUCCCGGGGCCAGAGUGCCUGUGCAGGUUAUGUUUCUACCAUGUGUUCAAGCACCUUCUCCUUCCACCAGCAAGCUUUUCCCGGGAACGGGCUGAGCAUCGGGUACAGGUGAGAAGUGUGUUUCAGCAAGGCAAGGGAGUCUGGAGAGAAAUGCGAGCCUACGCCUGGGUCCGAAGGAAGUCCGGGAGGGGCUGCCAAGGCGAUGGCGGAACAUUUGAGAGCCGAGAACGCACUUGCAGCACGCUUUGGGACACCGGCUCUCAGACAGACGCCUGCUGAGAGACCGCACUGCAAGGGGUCUCUCCGCCCCGGAGUCUGACAGUGCCUGCUUGGCGGACCCUGAGCUUCCUGUGGGGGACGUGCACCCGGUGGUCCUUCCUGUCUGGCUUCUCCCGCCACUCGAAGAGCAGCAUUAAAGAAGCCCGCCUUGCUGGUGCAGACUUCUGCAUCCCGUGGUGCUCAGUUCCAGAUGUGCUACACCACUUUCUCUUCGUGCUGGAGGGACGUGGGGUGCUCCCGGCUGGGGAAAGGAUGGGGACGACUUUGUGAGCUUUAUUUUUCAAUAUAGGGGAUGGGACCCAAGGCCUUCACACACAUCCUAAUCUUUUAAAAGUUUUUAUUUUGAGGCAAGGCCUAAGUCACCCCAUUGCCCAGGGUGGGCUCCAACUUGGUAUUCUCCUGUCUCACCCUCCCUGAGUGCCAUGAUCACAGGUGUGCACCACCACAAGGCUUGGAAUUGCUUUUUGCUUGAGGUGAGAAGAAUCUCUGGGUCCGCAGCUGUCCCUGUGGCUGUCAGAUGUGCGCUGCUACGGGCACCGCAGGCUGUGGAGUAAGAGAGUCCAUGAGCGUGUGACCUGGCUCUGCCUGGGCCGCUCUGCUACCCGGUCCCCAUCACCGCCCUUGGCCCGAGUUCCUGCACCCAGGGGUCUGACCGCACUUGCUGCUCAGUUUGUGGUGGCCACUUGCUGCCCUGCGCACUUGUGCAGAAAAGCGAGUCGGUGUCCGCUGCACACGAGUCCCCAAGUUUCACAGAGGACCAUUCGUCUACAGCACGUGAUUAGCGAGCAGCGAGGCUGGGGGCGAGGACCCCGGAGGCUUGCAGCGCUGUGGCCACGCUGGGCUGCUCUCCCACUCAGCCCAGGGCCCCUUCACGCGGGGGGCGGGGUGACGCAGGGUGGCCACGGGCGGUGGUCGAGUACCCUCGAAUGGAGCAGUGAGCUCAUGGCCUGGAGAUGGCAGCCGAGGAGGUGAGCUCUGUGACGUGAGCAGCCCUGAGGGCUGAGCGCUCCGCAGGGUCAGGGCCUCACGCAGGGCGCAGGGCACAGGGCGCAGGGCGCAGGGAGCUGUGUGUGACCCAGGAAGCCUCAGGCACAUCGGCCACACCUGCUGAGAGCCGCCCAGGACCUGAGAAGAGUGUGGAUCACAGCAGCCAGGGUGAGAUGGUGCUGCCAGGUGAGGGGCUCACACUCGAUGUCCAUGCCCUCUGUGGACUUCUCUGCUGGAGCUUUGGUCCUUGGGGUGCAGGUGGGGCGUGGAGACAGUGUGUUCCCCUGCAGCUCCUCCCCUGCUCGGCAGAGCCCGGGCCCUCCAUGGUCCCUGCACUGCUCACCCUUCGGAGCCCUCAGGGCUUAAUGGACCCCAUGUCCCCUUCUCCCACGUUGCGGACUCAGGACACUGCCACCCUGGGUUGGCUGACGGCUGGAGACCAAGUCCCUGGUGGAGGGCACAGCUGCAUAGGCCCCCUUGCACCCAGAAGGACCGACCAGCCCGGCCGCCUGAGGCUCCCGUCAUCCGCAGGAACCUGAGCCUCACCCAGGGCCCAGGCCACCUCCUCGGUGCCUGGGCACAGCGGCCUUCUGUGAAGCACACGUGGCCCUGUCCUCCGGGCUUUACCACAGCCACAUCUCUGUUGUGGAUGGAGGGGAGAGUCCACGUGGCCAUCUGCAGCUGGACACUGAGGACACUGCAGCUGCCCAGCCACGAAGCCGCAACCACAGAAUGAGAGAUGAGGCCCAGAGCCCCCUGGAGAGUCGCCGCUCCGAGGCCACCCGGAAGGCUGAGGAUGCUGGGGUCUGAAGGCCACGGGCAAUGGCGGCUGCAGUGACAAAUCUGUAAGUGGCAGGCGGUUCCCAAACAUGUGACUUCCUCCUCCUUCCCUUUCAGUCCACCUGGGCCACGAGCCCUCUGGACUCGCACACCCACAAGCACUGCGGGGCUUCCAGCCCGUUGUCUCUGACAGUGCCCACAGACAGGCCCGUGGUGCGCUUUGCCAGCCCACAGUCAUUUAUUUCUCCACUCUGUCAGGUGACGAACCCCACGUGGCCUGCAGCGGCCCGGUGAGGGAGGUGGCUGGGUCUGUGUCCAUCCUCGGCUCAUCACUAGGCGGAGGGGGAGGCCCGACCCAGGCAGGGUGCCAGGCUCCUGGCUCUGCCUGUCCCCACCCCAGGCCCCACUGAGAGACCUACCUCCAGCCCAGGGUUCUUGUCUUCAGCAGCUAACACGGCCUAGGCUGGCUGUCCAUGGCCCAGAGGUUGAAAGUGGUUUUCACGCCUUUAAACGUGAAAAGAAAAAGCAGGAAACAAUGUAUGCAGAGAUCAUGCAAUUUGCUCUUCAUUGUUUUUAAAUGAAUUGAUCGCUUCAUGUUUUCCCCCGGUUUUAAUGUAGUAGCAGAAAGUAGCUAAGCCCACCCACCAGAGCUCUGCUGGGCUUUGGGGGCUGUGGUUCCUGCGGGGAGUCCUGGGCCGGCGGCCUCCCACCCUCCACCCACAGCGCCCUCACCCGUGGAUCACGGUGCACGGUUCCUCCACGAGUGCUCAGCGUCUUGGUCAGGAGCCUGGGCUCUGGCCCUGUGGCCCACCCUGUGCUCCUCUGGGCCCCGCUGUGCCCUGAGGGGUGGGCGGGGCUGAUGGCUGCUGCCCCAGUCCCGAGCUCUCCCACCCCCAGCGAAGAAAAAGCAGGCAUUGUCUGCAUCUCUAUUUACAGGAUUGGGGCUUAUUGUCACUCACCACUGGCAAACGUGUCAUUAAAUUUCUCUUAAUCCCUGUGUGCCGCCCUUGGGACUGCGGGCCGGAGGGUGUCCCUGUCCGGCUUUGCCUCGUUGUCCACCGACCUGCAAGCCAUGAACCACACACGCAGAGUCCUGGCUCCUGGGCAUCAUUUCUGACUCCCUGCACCCAGUCACUGACCCCUGGUGGAGCACAGGGGACACGCAGGGCCUCAGGGGGCCUGGAAGCCCGUGCCUAUGGCAUCAGAGCCCCGCCGCCUGCCCCUUGUCCCUGCCCCUUGUCCCUGCUGAGAUGGCGCUGGCUGCUGGGGUUUGUGGACACCUUCUGUCAUCACACACGCACUUGUGUGGUGGCUGCACAGUCACAGCGUCUGUGAGCCUCGGACAGUUAUCUUUGAUGCCGGCUCCAGCUUUGUCCCCUGUGUGUGCUGGGCUCAACGUGAGAAACAGUUCUUGUCCCGGCCGAGUGACUCUGACUGUCAUGCUCUGAGCUGUCUCUGCGGUCCUGUGUGUGACUCCCUGACUGCGAGCUGGCAGGGUGAGGGUGGUGAGCCUGCCAGGGGGCCCUCUGCCCCAGAGCCUGGUCCUGGGCAAGCCCUCUGCCAGGGGCCUCGCAGCUUCAGUCAGGGACCGUGAGCGCCGGCAGCAGUGGGUGCUGAGCCUGCCCGGCAGGAGGACCAUGCCCAGGGCUUCCACCGAGACAUCCUCACCUCUUUUCCUGCCCACCUGCUCCCCUCCACCUGGCUCGGAGCACUGGCUCAGUGUCCUUGUCCCAGGUCUGCCUUCGGACCAGGCUGCCUCCAAUCCACAACCAUCUCAUUCCCACCAGCCGUGUCCAACCUGCGGCCCACGGCCACUUCUUUUUAAUGUUAUAAAAAAUAAAAAUUUUGUUACUUAUAUACAUGGACUUUAUUAUACAUUCCUUCUGUGGUCAACUUGUAAGCCCAGCUGAACUGAAUCAGCGUGGUCUGGGUGUGGAGGACCCACCUGAGGAUUGUUGCCAAUAGCCAUAAAGAGAACUGGAGGGGAAGUUCGUGGGCUGUUGAUUUUCUAUAAGAAGCUUCCUGUGGAUGGUUUUCCUGAUGCGAACUUGGCUGUUCUUGUCCUCGUCGGAGCUCGGGGCCUCGCUGUUGCUGGGAAUGGCUGCUGUUCUAGUCAGGGGAGCUCCAAUCUUCACUGUGAACAUUGCUUCCUGGGCUCCAGUGUAGAUCCCUCAGCCUGGUGGCACAAAUCCUUCACCCCACCGGCACCGGCUUCCUGGCUUCCACCACUGGCCUUUGGGCCUUCCAGGUGCAGAUCCUCCAUACAGACAAGCAUGAGACAUUGCUGUGGGCUCCAGGCCACUGGCUGGGGUCAUGGAUGACAUUGCCUUGGACUCUAGGCCUUCAGCUGGACUUGUGUGGGACACUGCUGUGGGACCCAGGCCCUCGGAUGGAUUCUUUGGGUCUAGUGCGUGGCUAGAUCUCUUACACUUCUCUGCAUUUGACUUUUUUGGGUGACUAUUGUAAAAUAAUCCUAUAAAUUAUGUUCCCUGUAGUAAAUCUAUUUUCCUUGCUGAGACCUCGACUACAGUGCCCCCCAUUCAGUGUGGUCCAGACAAGCAGGAAAUUUUCACACCCACGCCAAGAGUGCCCACACACCAGGGUCCCAGGUUCACACACGCCAAGUGUGCCCACACACCAGGGUCCCGGGUUCACACACCCACGCCAAGUGUGUCCACACACCAGGGUCCCGGGUUCACACACCCACACCAAAUGUGCCCACACACCAGGGUCCCAUAACAAUCUAGGAUGUGCCCAUCA